GGGCGUUUAGCGCAGUGGUAGCGCGUAUGCUUCGCAAAUCCGAAGGAAAUGUUUAUUUGAUUCUCCCUCAUUCAAACAUCUCCUUCGGAUUGGGACUUGUAUGAGGUCCAGGGUUCAAUCCCCUGAACGUCCA